rnacentral:rRNA from 1 species
AUUGAACGCUGGCGGCAGGCCUAACACAUGCAAGUCGAGCGAGCGGCGGACGGGUGAGUAAUGUCUGGGAAACUGCCUGUUGGAGGGGGAUAACUACUGGAAACGGUCGCUAAUACCGCAUACCAUCAGAUGUGCCCAGAUGUGAUUAGCUAGUAGGUGGGGUAACGGCUCACCUAGGCGACGAGCCCUAGCUGGUCUGUGAGGAUGACCAGCCACCCUGGAACUGAGACACGGCCCCGACUCCUACGGGAGGCAGCAGUGGGGAAUAUUGCACAAUUGAGGAAACCCUGAUUACGCCAUGCCGCGUGUGUGAAGAAGGCCUUCGGGUUGUAAAGCACUAUCAGCGGGGAAGCGUUAACCGCAGAAGAAGCACCGGCUAACUCCGUGCCAGCAGCCGCGGUAAUAC